GCCAGCGGACAAAUGGCUAUGUCGAGCCCUGCAUCUUCCACCUCCUCCUCAAAACCACCUGCAUUAAUCCAGCACCCAAGAAAUGUUCAAAAUACUCCAACAACCAGAACUUUGAGCAAACCAGUCAUCUGCAACCAAACACACGCCACAGCUGUUGCCUCAUUCACCCCGAGAAUCUCAGGCAUUCAAAUAUACCUGCCCCUGAAAACAACGUUACCGUAUGCAUGCAAUGUUAAAGAGGAAUGAAGCAAAUAUGUCUGCAUUCAACUAAACUGAUCAAAAUAUCCACCUGCAGCUUAGUUGACAAGCACAGAGGAGAGAUGAUAAACCCGAUUUAAAAACCAGAAAUCGGGAACAAGUGGAUCAAAGACUGCCUGGCAGAGUAUGCAGAGAGCUUCCCUCAAGUCUCUGUUCUCCUCGAGGCCAACAUAGGCAGGUGCAUCUAUGGUCAGAAAGGAUUUCAAGAGCACAACUUUCAGGAGAUGUGGGAACUCUACCAGCAGUAUGGAGCCCAAAAAGGACAGGCCAGACAAAUUUAGCCUGAAGGAGACUAUGCAGAAAGCAAAAAACUCUGUGGAGAUGGUUGAACACACCGCUGACUCACAUCACCAGCGUGCAGAUGAAGAGGUUCCGAAAAUACAUCACAGAAAAGGAAGUGUUGUGGCCAUAAACUGCCAAAAAGCUAAUAAAGUUUGAUUUGCACAUUGGAAAUGUUUCCCGACUGAACUUUUCUACAAAGUCCAAUUUAAUAAAAAAAAACAAUUUUCUUUCCUACUACAGUAACAGCUGAAAAUAGGAAAUCCAUCUGCAUUGCUGAUGAUGUUGAGCUGAUGGCUGCAUGUCAGGCUGUGGAAAGUAAGAGUCUACCUGAGUUGAUGGAAAAUGAGCCGUUUUUAAAAUCAUCCUCAUUUUCCCCUCAGAAAGAGAAGAUUGCCUCAUCAACAUCCUCCUCCCAGCCAGAGAGAAUUUCCCCGUCUUCAUCGGAUAUCCCAUCUGCUGACAUCAACUGGCUCAAGGAGGACACAGAGGGGACUGUUCACUGCCGUACAAAUAUGCAAAGACAUUUCUGGUCAACUGAGGAGGAGACGGGUGAUGAAAUCAGCCCGGAUGUGGUUUUACCUUACGGAGCCUCCUGGUUUCAUCAGCGCUGCUCUACCAGCUCGACAUUUCUUUUCCCCCAGAGCCGUGUCUUUGACGCCCUGUGGGAGCGUGGAGGUACUCUCCCAAGUGUCCUCGAGGUGACAAAUGCGCAGGUGCAGGUUGAGAUGUGCACCUCUACAAAUCUGGCUACCAUCAUCAGGCAGGUGACGUGUCCAGCUGGUACACAAUGCUGACUGAUGUUUUGUGCUGUGGACAGUGCACUAAGGCAGUCAGAAAUAAGGAGGGUGGCACAGUGGGGCGCUGGCUUGCAUGGGAUCAUGCAAUUCUGUCCCAGCUCAGUGAGGCCCAUCAAGCCAUGUUUCCUGCUGUUGUCACCUGCAAAGGCAGUGUGGACAAGAAUGUUGUUCACCUUCUGCGGGACAGAGCUGAGGGCAACACUAUGGUGAAAAGUGUGGCGGCAGGUCCAGGAAAAUCACCAUGAAGAAUAUCUUCCAUC